rnacentral:rRNA from 1 species
CCAAUAGCGUAUAUUAAAGUUGCUGCAGUUAAAAAGCUCGUAGUUGAAUUUCGGGACCAUCAUGUCGGUCGUGCCUCGGUACGUACUGGUAUUGUUGGUUUCUCCCUUCUGACGAACCAUGAUGUCAUUUAUUUGGUGUUGUGGGGAAUCAGGACUGUUACUUUGAGAAAAUUAGAGUGUUUAAAGCAGGCUCACGCUUGAAUACAUUAGCAUGGAAUAAUGAAAUAGGACGUUUGAUUCUAUUUUGUUGGUUUCUAGGAUCGACGUAAUGAUUAAUAGGGAUAGUUGGGUGCAUUAGUAUUCAAUUGUCAGAGGUGAAAUUCUUGGAUUUAUUGAAGACUAACUACUGCGAAAGCAUUUGCCAAGGAUGUUUUCACUAAUCAAGAACGAAAGUUAGGGGAUCGAAGACGAUCAGAUACCGUCGUAGUCUUAACCAUAAACUAUGCCGACUAGGGAUCGGAUGAUGUUAAUUUUUUAAUGGCUCAUUCGGCGCCUUGCG